ensembl:lincRNA
CACUGAAUGAAGCAUCAAUUGCUACGUGAUUUUAUCACAAAGGCAAGGUAUAACUCAUCUCUUCCUUUCUCUUAAGCAAAUGACCUGAAUACCAUGAGGUAUCCACCCACACCUAAAAUUUAUCAUCCUAGUCAUCCCUGUUUUCUAUCAAGUUUUAUUCUUUGAUAAAAUCCCAUGAGCUUUCCCUUCAAAAUGGGUAGGAACAAACCUCAGAAUAUUCCAUCUUUAUGACACCACUGAAAAUGUUGAAUUCAGUUUUAGUGCUUUUGUUCAUUUAGAGAUCUGUCUGGGAUUCUCUUUGGAUCCUGCAAUGAUGGACUUGGUGUUGAAGCUGUAUUGAUCGGUUACUGAAGAAUUUUCCUCUGUUUCACAUCAUCUUCCCACUAAUGGUUCCCAGUUCAUAUUUUCUGGAAGAACCAGUAUGCAAGCAUGCUCUUUCCAAAUGGGGCUUUGGUAGCAGAUGGCAGGUCAAAUCCCUCAGGAAGUGAAGAUCAAGAAGAAAUGGUUGGAAAUUUUCCAGUUAACUCUGAGUAAUCAUGAGAGAAAAGAGACUUGGAGCCAGAUUGGUACACUGGGAGUUUGUUGGCACUGCUGCUGAGAGGGACGAGCCCGAGAAAAUGAAAGUAGAACUUGGCAAACAAGAAUGGAUCCUGCAGUUCAGUAGUCCAAAGCCAACAGCCAGUCCCUUGUAGAAUUUUGAAGGUGGGAUGACACUUCAACAUUCUGCUCAGCUGAGACAAGCGGUUCCCUUUGACCAAAGGCAUAUCUGAGGCUGGGAAUUUAUCCGUGACUUGUUACCAGCCAAUGUGGCAGCCAGGACAUGAAUUCCAUGGCUGUGAAAGAGAACUUGGAAGACCUCAGCAUCUGCAGCAGACAGUACGGCUUCAUCUCUGAUACAAGAAUGGUGAAAGAUGCACGGACUUCACUGUGUCGCUGCAUAGGUUGGAGUGUGGGGUGGCAUGCCCUUUCAAAACUGAAAAUCUGGAACCACAUUGCAGUCUGCGUGUUUAUUAAAGUGCAACCUCUACCAAGAAGCUCCGCCCACUUCAGCAUCUACCAGGAAGCUCCUCCUACUUCAGCAUCCACCAGGAUGAUGCUCCUGCUUCAGCUUGCACUUGACGUGAAUGAGAAGUCAAAUGCUAUCCUAAUUCCUAUCCCCUUAAGCCAUUAAAAAUUAAGAUUUCUCAGCUGGGCAGUGGUGGCACAUGCCUUAAAUCCCAGCAAUUGGGAUGCAGAGGCAGGUGGCUCUCUGUGAGUGCGAGGCCAGCCUAGUCUACAGAGAGUUUUCCAGGACAGGCUCCAAAGUCACACAGAGGAACCCUGUCUCAAAAACAAAAAUAAGAUUUCUCUUUAAAGUGAGUAGUUAUCACUCUGAAGUGCCUUUCUUUUAUGUCAAUGAUCUCUUUUUCCUAAUUUGUGAAACCAGACUGAUUCCUGACCCAACAGGUCAGUCCUAUCCUUGAAAGGAGCAAUUUUGAUGAGGAAGGUGGGUUGUGAUACUAAAAAACACUAGUACAGGGUUUACCAUGUGAACAUGCAGUUGUUAGAACACAGUAAGUACGAGGCUUGUUUCAACUCUACUACUAACUCAGUGAGCUGACUUCACCCACAUAUGGUCUCCUUGAGCACCAGCCCCCUCCUCUUGGAGCCAGAGCUUUAGGUGAGAUUAAUUACCUCCAAAGUCUUUUGCAACUAUAGUAUGUUCUCCUUAAUGCUUCAUGCUAUACCUACAAAGCAACUCUUACACAGUGAAAGAGAAUUUCCCUGAAUGAUUUUUGCAAUUGAAUAACCUAAUGCCAAAAAUGUCAGUGACAAUUCUGAGAUACCCUGCUUAGUACCCUGACAUCAUGGGAACACACACACACACACACACACACACACACACACACACACAUAUAAAAGGAUAGUGCUUAAAAGUUAAUCCUUUGUUCUGUUUUGUUGAGGAGGGCAUGCCAGUGGCAUUCUCUACCAAAAAUUUUUAAAGGUUUCACGAUUUCUGGGAUUAGUGUAAUCCAAGAUUAUACUGUGUAUAAUCAUGCAUUAGAUAUUCAAGUGGACUGGUGUCAAAGUCAAAUUGUAUGAAUUCAUAUCUUAAUUCUACAAUUAUUUUAGCUGGAAGCUAAUAUUUACCUUAGAAAGUUUGUAAAAAGGGUUUUUCAAAUACCACAUACAUGUAACUCAAGCACUUAAAAAUUCAAUAAACAUUC